UGGGGAAUAUUGCACAAUGGGCGAAAGCCUGAUGCAGCGACGCCGCGUGAGGGAUGACGGCCUUCGGGUUGUAAACCUCUUUCAGCAGGGAAGAAGCGAAAGUGACGGUACCUGCAGAAGAAGCGCCGGCUAACUACGUGCCAGCAGCCGCGGUAAUACGUAGGGCGCAAGCGUUGUCCGGAAUUAUUGGGCGUAAAGAGCUCGUAGGCGGUUAGUCGCGUCUGCUGUGAAAACUCGAGGCUCAACCUCGGGCUUGCAGUGGGUACGGGCUGACUAGAGUGCGGUAGGGGUGACUGGAAUUCCUGGUGUAGCGGUGGAAUGCGCAGAUAUCAGGAGGAACACCGAUGGCGAAGGCAGGUCACUGGGCCGCAACUGACGCUGAGGAGCGAAAGCAUGGGGAGCGAACAGGAUUAGAUAGCCCUGGUAGUCCAUGCCGUAAACGUUGGGCACUAGGUGUGGGGUCCAUUCCACGGAUUCCGUGCCGCAGCAAACGCAUUAAGUGCCCCGCCUGGGGAGUACGGCCGCAAGGCUAAAACUCAAAGGAAUUG
rnacentral:rRNA from 1 species